AUUGAACGCUGGCGGCAGGCCUAACACAUGCAAGUCGAGCGGAUGAAGGGAGCUUGCUCCUGGAUUCAGCGGCGGACGGGUGAGUAAUGCCUAGGAAUCUGCCUGGUAGUGGGGGAUAACGUCCGGAAACGGGCGCUAAUACCGCAUACGUCCUGAGGGAGAAAGUGGGGGAUCUUCGGACCUCACGCUAUCAGAUGAGCCUAGGUCGGAUUAGCUAGUUGGUGGGGUAAAGGCCUACCAAGGCGACGAUCCGUAACUGGUCUGAGAGGAUGAUCAGUCACAGGGGGACUGAGACACGGCCCAGACACCUACGGGAGGAGGCAGUGGGGAGGGUUGGACAAUGGGCGAAAGCCUGAUCCAGCUAUGCCGCGUGGAGAAUGAAGGCCUUCGGGUGGUAAACUGCUUUUGUACGGAAAGAAAAGACGCUGGUUAAUACCGGGGGUCCAUGACGGUACCGGAAGAAUAAGCACCGGCUAACUACGUG
rnacentral:rRNA from 1 species